AUUGAACGCUGGCGGCAUGCCUUACACAUGCAAGUCGAGCGGCAGCGGAAAGUAGCUUGCUACUUUGCCGGCGAGCGGCGGACGGGUGAGUAAUGUCUGGGAAACUGCCUGAUGGAGGGGGAUAACUACUGGAAACGGUAGCUAAUACCGCAUGACCUCGAAAGAGCAAAGUGGGGGAUCUUCGGACCUCACGCCAUCGGAUGUGCCCAGAUGGGAUUAGCUAGUAGGUGAGGUAAUGGCUCACCUAGGCGACGAUCCGUAGCUGGUCUGAGAGGACGACCAGCCACACUGGGACUGAGACACGGCCCAGACUCCUACGGGAGGCAGCAGUGGGGAAUUUUGGACAAUGGGCGAAAGCCUGAUCCAGCCAUGCCGCGUGCAGGAUGAAGGCCUUCGGGUUGUAAACUGCUUUUGUACGGAACGAAACGGCCUUUUCUAAUAAAGAGGGCUAAUGACGGUACCGUAAGAAUAAGCACCGGCUAACUACGUGCCAGCAGCCGCGGUAAUACGUAGGGUGCAAGCGUUAAUCGGAAUUACUGGGCGUAAAGCGUGCGCAGGCGGUUAUGUAAGACAGUUGUGAAAUCCCCGGGCUCAACCUGGGAACUGCAUCUGUGACUGCAUAGCUAGAGUACGGUAGAGGGGGAUGGAAUUCCGCGUGUAGCAGUGAAAUGCGUAGAUAUGCGGAGGGACACCGAUGGCGAAAGCAAUCCCCUGGACCUGUACUGGCGCUCAUGCACGAAAGCGUGGGGAGCAAACAGG
rnacentral:rRNA from 1 species